UUAAGCGACUAAGCGUACACGGUGGAUGCCCUGGCAGUCAGAGGCGAUGAAGGACGUGCUAAUCUGCGAUAAGCGUCGGUAAGGUGAUAUGAACCGUUAUAACCGGCGAUUUCCGAAUGGGGAAACCCAGUGUGAUUCGUCACACUAUCAUUAACUGAAUCCAUAGGUUAAUGAGGCGAACCGGGGGAACUGAAACAUCUAAGUACCCCGAGGAAAAGAAAUCAACCGAGAUUCCCCCAGUAGCGGCGAGCGAACGGGGAGGAGCCCAGAGCCUGAAUCAGUGUGUGUGUUAGUGGAAGCGUCUGGAAAGGCGCGCGAUACAGGGUGACAGCCCCGUACACAAAAAUGCACAUGCUGUGAGCUCGAUGAGUAGGGCGGGACACGUGGUAUCCUGUCUGAAUAUGGGGGGACCAUCCUCCAAGGCUAAAUACUCCUGACUGACCGAUAGUGAACCAGUACCGUGAGGGAAAGGCGAAAAGAACCCCGGCGAGGGGAGUGAAAAAGAACCUGAAACCGUGUACGUACAAGCAGUGGGAGCCUCUUUAUGGGGUGACUGCGUACCUUUUGUAUAAUGGGUCAGCGACUUAUAUUCUGUAGCAAGGUUAACCGAAUAGGGGAGCCGAAGGGAAACCGAGUCUUAACUGGGCGUUAAGUUGCAGGGUAUAGACCCGAAACCCGGUGAUCUAGCCAUGGGCAGGUUGAAGGUUGGGUAACACUAACUGGAGGACCGAACCGACUAAUGUUGAAAAAUUAGCGGAUGACUUGUGGCUGGGGGUGAAAGGCCAAUCAAACCGGGAGAUAGCUGGUUCUCCCCGAAAGCUAUUUAGGUAGCGCCUCGUGAAUUCAUCUCCGGGGGUAGAGCACUGUUUCGGCAAGGGGGUCAUCCCGACUUACCAACCCGAUGCAAACUGCGAAUACCGGAGAAUGUUAUCACGGGAGACACACGGCGGGUGCUAACGUCCGUCGUGAAGAGGGAAACAACCCAGACCGCCAGCUAAGGUCCCAAAGUCAUGGUUAAGUGGGAAACGAUGUGGGAAGGCCCAGACAGCCAGGAUGUUGGCUUAGAAGCAGCCAUCAUUUAAAGAAAGCGUAAUAGCUCACUGGUCGAGUCGGCCUGCGCGGAAGAUGUAACGGGGCUAAACCAUGCACCGAAGCUGCGGCAGCGACACUAUGUGUUGUUGGGUAGGGGAGCGUUCUGUAAGCCUGCGAAGGUGUACUGUGAGGUAUGCUGGAGGUAUCAGAAGUGCGAAUGCUGACAUAAGUAACGAUAAAGCGGGUGAAAAGCCCGCUCGCCGGAAGACCAAGGGUUCCUGUCCAACGUUAAUCGGGGCAGGGUGAGUCGACCCCUAAGGCGAGGCCGAAAGGCGUAGUCGAUGGGAAACAGGUUAAUAUUCCUGUACUUGGUGUUACUGCGAAGGGGGGACGGAGAAGGCUAUGUUGGCCGGGCGACGGUUGUCCCGGUUUAAGCGUGUAGGCUGGUUUUCCAGGCAAAUCCGGAAAAUCAAGGCUGAGGCGUGAUGACGAGGCACUACGGUGCUGAAGCAACAAAUGCCCUGCUUCCAGGAAAAGCCUCUAAGCAUCAGGUAACAUCAAAUCGUACCCCAAACCGACACAGGUGGUCAGGUAGAGAAUACCAAGGCGCUUGAGAGAACUCGGGUGAAGGAACUAGGCAAAAUGGUGCCGUAACUUCGGGAGAAGGCACGCUGAUAUGUAGGUGAAGUCCCUCGCGGAUGGAGCUGAAAUCAGUCGAAGAUACCAGCUGGCUGCAACUGUUUAUUAAAAACACAGCACUGUGCAAACACGAAAGUGGACGUAUACGGUGUGACGCCUGCCCGGUGCCGGAAGGUUAAUUGAUGGGGUUAGCGGUAACGCGAAGCUCUUGAUCGAAGCCCCGGUAAACGGCGGCCGUAACUAUAACGGUCCUAAGGUAGCGAAAUUCCUUGUCGGGUAAGUUCCGACCUGCACGAAUGGCGUAAUGAUGGCCAGGCUGUCUCCACCCGAGACUCAGUGAAAUUGAACUCGCUGUGAAGAUGCAGUGUACCCGCGGCAAGACGGAAAGACCCCGUGAACCUUUACUAUAGCUUGACACUGAACAUUGAGCCUUGAUGUGUAGGAUAGGUGGGAGGCUUUGAAGUGUGGACGCCAGUCUGCAUGGAGCCGACCUUGAAAUACCACCCUUUAAUGUUUGAUGUUCUAACGUUGGCCCCUGAUCGGGGUUGCGGACAGUGUCUGGUGGGUAGUUUGACUGGGGCGGUCUCCUCCUAAAGAGUAACGGAGGAGCACGAAGGUUGGCUAAUCCUGGUCGGACAUCAGGAGGUUAGUGCAAUGGCAUAAGCCAGCUUGACUGCGAGCGUGACGGCGCGAGCAGGUGCGAAAGCAGGUCAUAGUGAUCCGGUGGUUCUGAAUGGAAGGGCCAUCGCUCAACGGAUAAAAGGUACUCCGGGGAUAACAGGCUGAUACCGCCCAAGAGUUCAUAUCGACGGCGGUGUUUGGCACCUCGAUGUCGGCUCAUCACAUCCUGGGGCUGAAGUAGGUCCCAAGGGUAUGGCUGUUCGCCAUUUAAAGUGGUACGCGAGCUGGGUUUAGAACGUCGUGAGACAGUUCGGUCCCUAUCUGCCGUGGGCGCUGGAGAACUGAGGGGGGCUGCUCCUAGUACGAGAGGACCGGAGUGGACGCAUCACUGGUGUUCGGGUUGUCAUGCCAAUGGCACUGCCCGGUAGCUAAAUGCGGAAGAGAUAAGUGCUGAAAGCAUCUAAGCACGAAACUUGCCCCGAGAUGAGUUCUCCCUGACUCCUUGAGAGUCCUGAAGGAACGUUGAAGACGACGACGUUGAUAGGCCGGGUGUGUAAGCGCAGCGAUGCGUUGAGCUAACCGGUACUAAUGAACCGUGAGGCUUAACCUU
rnacentral:rRNA from 3 species